AUACUUACCUGGCAGGGGAGAUGCCAUGUCAUGGAGGUGGUUGUCCCAGGGUGAGGCUCACCCAUUGCACUCCAGGUGUGCUGACCCUUGGGAUUUCCCCAAAUGUGGGAAACCCGACUGCAUGAUUUGUGGUAGUAGGGGACUGUGUUUGUGCUCUCUCCUA